CAGUCGCCGCGGUAAUACGAAGGGGGCUAGCGUUGCUCGGAAUGACUGGGCGUAAAGGGCGCGUAGGCGGUUUGUACAGUUGGGUGUGAAAUUCCUGGGCUUAACCUGGGGGCUGCAUCCAAAACUGGCAAGCUAGAGUAUGGUAGAGGGUGGUGGAAUUUCCUGUGUAGCGGUGAAAUGCGUAGAUAUAGGAAGGAACACCAGUGGCGAAGGCGACCACCUGGACUGAUACUGACACUGAGGUGCGAAAGCGUGGGGAGCAAACAGGAUUAGAUACCCGCGUAGUCCCUGUCUCUUAUAA
rnacentral:rRNA from 1 species